UUCGGAUUGCAGGCUGCAACCCGCCUGCAUGAAGCUGGAAUCGCUAGUAAUCGCGGAUCAGAAUGCCGCGGUGAAUACGUUCCCGGGUCUUGUACACACCGCCCGUCACACCAUGGGAGUCGGUAACGCCCGAAGUCAGUGACCCAACCGUAAGGAGGGAGCUGCCGAAGGCGGGACUGGUAACUGGGGUGAAGUCGUAACAAGGUAAC
rnacentral:rRNA from 1 species